AUGGAAGAACCACAAACUCUCCACUGUACAUCUUCAUCUUUCUCUGAGAUCUUCAACACCAUAACUCCCUGCAUCCGCAACAACGUCCUACUUCAGCAACUUCAUCACCUUCUGAACCUUUAUUUUCAACUCAUCAGUUGCAUCAUCAAGAUCUCCAGCACCAUAAAUCUUCAUCAACAAUUCCCCAUCAACCCUGCCUCUUCUUCAUCACCUCGCUUCAGCAUAGCAUCCUCAACCUUCAUCCUUCAUCACCAUCACCAUUACGACUUCCGCAAAUCCUAUAUGCAUCUAUUCAUCAUCUUCCUCGCACUGACUUCGUCGAAUUUGCAACAUCAUAACAACUUCUCUCAUCAAUAG